CCCUCCAUAGCUCAGUGGUUAGAGCGCAUGGCUGUAGCCCGUGAGAUCCCAGGUUCAAAUCCUGGUGGGGGGA
rnacentral:tRNA from 1 species